UAAUCCUUUCCCUCCCAAGUUAAAGUUUGAAUUGGCCCUCCGAGAGACACUGGGAUAAGACUUUAUUUACAGGAUUGGAGAUCCGUUAGUCCAAAGUGAUAUUUUCAAAAUGAAAAAUAGGAAAAUGCUCUCUAAUCUGACUCCACCUACCCCAGUUUUUCUUUAAGAUUUAUAUUGUGUUUAAAGUGAAGAUCAAAAUCAUGAUCUUAGCAUUCAUAGCCCAUGAAUUGCGUGACAUAUCCUUAGCUUUAUUUGUACACACGCGCGUGCACACACACAAUACACACACACACUUACACAUUUUCAACUUCUUGUAUUUCACUUUUCAGAAUUCAAUAUAACCUUCACUUUCUCAUCCCGACUCCCAUUCCUGUCAACAUGAUCCAGCCAGCAUCCUGUUUGUCCUUCAUCACCUUGACUUUGAUUUAUAAUCAAACAUCGAGUGCUCUAACUUCCCGAUGGAAGAUUUUUCACCUUUGAUAGCAAGCAGGCCCCGAGAAAGUAGGCACCAUGCUGUGAUCGCUUGAUGCGGAGAUUCUAGUGCUCAGCAGUCUCCAGCAUGUUGGGUUGACUUGUAUCCCCUCAGUGACAAGAUGAGAGCUUGACCCUGAUGACUGUGAAUGUGGCCUUGCGUGGAAAUAGGAUCUUUGCAGUUGUCGUCAAGAUUCCCGUGACCCUAAUCCAAUCUAAGAAGAAGAAAAAUCUGAAAGUAGAGAUACCCAGAAAAAGAGUGGGGAUCUGAUGCAUUUCAACAACGCAUCCAACUGAGGCGCAUGCUGCAGCUGUUAAGGGAUGUCCCAGUGCCACGGACUGCCGUGCCACGUGACAACCGCGGGUGCCACUGAAGCAGACUGCCCUUGCAGCAGGUGUUCCUCCUCUGCAAGACCAGACUCCUCCAGGGAGUGUCUCACCAUGUGUGAGCAUGGCCUUAAAGCGCGUAGAAGCCAAGACCAGCGGAAGUGGCUGGACAGGAAUCUUGGCUCAAGAGGAGCAAUUUGGACAUGAAGUCAAGUGAGGUCCUCAGGCAUUUACCUCUGCUCCUUUAUGCCUCAUCAGUGUAAAUUCUGGACUUCCUGAUCUCAAUGGGGGUUUUGCUUGACAAGUAAUUAAAAAAAACUUAAAAUGCUCUCAUUAACACUUGGCAACAAUAUGAGGGUUGAUACCAUGUCUUGUGGUUUGGCCAUUUUAAAAUUGUGUGUAGUGUGUAUACAUAAUGCAUGCAUCUGAGGUUGUAUGAGUAUUAUGGGACACAUGAGGGUUGAUACUAUGACUCAUGUGGGUUUUGCCAUUUUUAAAUUGUGUGUUAUGUGUGUGAAUAAUGUAUGUAUCUGAUUUCUAUGGGGUGCAUGUUGUAGUCGGGAUGGCUCUAGGGAGUUGGUUUUCUCUUUCUAUCAUGGAACCUGGGGAUCAAACUCAGGUUGUCAGGAAUGCAUAGUGAGCACUUUUACCUUUUGGGCCAGCUCAUGGGCCCAUGUCUUGUUUAUUUUUGUCUGCUUGAUUUAUUCACAUUUGCAGGUUUGAAUUUUAAGUAUAAAACAGAUAAACUGAAAAUUCCACUCAUGCUAUCCUCUCAUAGUCGUACCUCUUUUCCUACAACUGAGGCUUGCCAAUCACUCAUCUGUUCAUCGUGACAGUUUUUAUCAUUUUAGACUGCAAAUGACAGGUCUGUGUAGAUGACUCAGUCAAUGCAUUGAGAUCCAUCCAGAGCACCACGUUCAAACAGGUGCUGUGGACACUGGACCUUAGUGCUGUGGGAGAGUGGAGUGGUCUCUAGAGCUUGCUGGCCUGCAGUCUAGACACUUGGUGAGGGUCAGACAUAGUGAGGGACAUUGUCUCCAAAAAUAAUAAGAGUAAUCAGGGAAGACACCUGGUGCAGACCUCCAGUCUUCCUACAUAUAUGCAUGCACUCACACAGACACACCCUCAAACACACUCCACACACUUUCAAAACCCAACCAGAAUCAAAACAGCAAGCCACAGAAGCAGACAGGCAUAGAAACAAAGAGGCCAUGGAUUUGAUAGAGAGCAAGAAUGGGAGGGCCGGAGGCAGAAAAGGGAAGGGGGAAAUGGUGUGCUUAUAUGAUGAUCUCAAAAUAAAGAUAAUAAAAAUUGUCUUCUUUCAGAAUAA